rfam:Sorghum bicolor cultivar BTx623 chromosome 9, whole genome shotgun sequence.
GGAUGCGAUCAUACCAGCACUAAAGCACCGGAUCCCAUCAGAACUCCGAAGUUAAGCGUGCUUGGGCGAGAGUAGUACUGGGAUGGGUGACCUCCUGGGAAGUCCUCGUGUUGCAUUCC